CAUUCGCCUGCUGCGGGCAUAUAAAGUGAAUGUGCGUGUCGAUGCCGCCGGCCGUGACAAUCUUGCCCUCGCCCGCAAUGACAUCGGUGCAGCUGCCGACGACCAUUCCCGGGGACACGCCGUCCAUGACAUCGGGGUUGCCCGCCUUGCCGAUUCCCACAAUGUGGCCGUCCUUGACGCCAAUGUCGGCCUUGUAGAUGCCCGUCCAGUCAAUGACGAGGGCAUUGGUCACCACCAUGUCCAGGGAAUCCGCGUCCAGGCGUCCGGUCGCUUGUCCCAUGCCCUCGCGCAG
rnacentral:sRNA from 1 species